rnacentral:rRNA from 1 species
GACGAACGCUGGCGGCGUGCCUAAUACAUGCAAGUCGAGCGCAGGAAACUGACGGAACUCUUCGGAGGGAAGGCAGUGGAAUGAGCGGCGGACGGGUGAGUAACACGUAAGGAACCUGCCUCAAGGAUUGGGAUAACUCCGAGAAAUCGGAGCUAAUACCGGAUAGUUCAACGGACCGUAUGGUCCGCUGAUGAAAGGCGCUCCGGCGUCACCUUGAGAUGGCCUUGCGGUGCAUUAGCUAGUUGGUGGGGUAACGGCCCACCAAGGCGACGAUGCAUAGCCGACCUGAGAGGGUGAUCGGCCACACUGGGACUGAGACACGGCCCAGACUCCUACGGGAGGCAGCAGUAGGGAAUCUUCCACAAUGGACGAAAGUCUGAUGGAGCAACGCCGCGUGAGUGAUGAAGGUUUUCGGAUCGUAAAACUCUGUUGUAAGGGGAGAACACGUACGAGAGGGAAUGCUCGUACCUUGACGGUACCUUACGAGAAAGCCACGGCUAACUACGUGCCAGCCGCCGCGGUAAAAC